rnacentral:rRNA from 1 species
GACGAACGCUGGCGGCGUGCUUAACACAUGCAAGUCGAGCGGUAAGGCCCUUUCGGGGGUACACGAGCGGCGAACGGGUGAGUAACACGUGGGUGACCUGCCUUUAGCUCUGGGAUAAGCCUGGGAAACUGGGUCUAAUACCGGAUAUGACUCCGCGGUGCAUGCUGUGGGGUGGAAAGCCUUGUGCGGCUGGAGAUGGGCCCGCGGCCUAUCAGCUUGUUGGUGGGGGAUGGCCUACCAAGGCGACGACGGGUAGCCGGCCUGAGAGGGCGACGGCCACACUGGGACUGAGACACGGCCCAGACUCCUACGGGAGGCAGCAGUGGGGAAUCUUGCGCAAUGGGCGAAAGCCUGACGCAGCGACGCCGCGUGAGGGAUGACGGCCU